GUCCCUGUCGUCUAGUAAGGCCCAGGAUACUGGUCCCUCAAACCGGUGACACGGGUUCAAAUCCCGUCAGGGACGCCA
rnacentral:tRNA from 1 species